GUGGGGAAUCUUGCGCAAUGGGCGAAAGCCUGACGCAGCCAUGCCGCGUGAAUGAUGAAGGUCUUAGGAUUGUAAAAUUCUUUCACCGGGGACGAUAAUGAUGGUACCUGGAGAAAAAGCUACGGCUAACUACGUGCCAGCAGCCGCGGUAAUACGUAGGUGGCAAGCGUUGUCCGGAAUUACUGGGUGUAAAGGGCGUGUAGGCGGAACUACAAGUCAGGGGUGAAAACUAUGGGCUUAACCCAUAGCCUGCCUUUGAAACUGUAGUCCUUGAGUGCUGGAGAGGCAAUUGGAAUUCCUAGUGUAGCGGUGAAAUGCGUAGAUAUUAGGAGGAACACCAGUGGCGAAGGCGAAUUGCUGGACAGUAACUGACGCUGAGGCGCGAAAGCGUGGGGAGCAAACAGGAUUAGAAACCCGGGUAGUCC
rnacentral:rRNA from 1 species